CCAUUCUACUAGGGGAGUCUAAUAGUGCUUAGACUGAGAGAAGAACGCCCAAAGUUCUUUGACCCUCCGAACCUGAUCUGGGUCAUACCAGCGUAGGGAAGUAGAGAGUGCAGGCU
rnacentral:ncRNA from 2 species